GAUGAACGCUGGCGGCGUGCCUAAUACAUGCAAGUCGAGCGAACAGACGAGGAGCUUGCUCCUCUGACGUUAGCGGCGGACGGGUGAGUAACACGUGGAUAACCUACCUAUAAGACUGGGAUAACUUCGGGAAACCGGAGCUAAUACCGGAUAAUAUAUUGAACCGCAUGGUUCAAUAGUGAAAGACGGUUUUGCUGUCACUUAUAGAUGGAUCCGCGCCGCAUUAGCUAGUUGGUAAGGUAACGGCUUACCAAGGCUACGAUGCGUAGCCGACCUGAGAGGGUGAUCGGCCACACUGGAACUGAGACACGGUCCAGACUCCUACGGGAGGCAGCAGUAGGGAAUCUUCCGCAAUGGGCGAAAGCCUGACGGAGCAACGCCGCGUGAGUGAUGAAGGUCUUCGGAUCGUAAAACUCUGUCAUUAGGGAAGAACAAAUGUGUAAGUAACUAUGCACGUCUUGACGGUACCUAAUCAGAAAGCCACGGCUAACUACGUG
rnacentral:rRNA from 1 species